UGAACGCUGGCGGCGUGCUUAACACAUGCAAGUCGCACGAGAAAUCUUUAGCUUGCUAGAGAGAGUAAAGUGGCGCACGGGUGAGUAACGCGUGGGUAAUCUACCCCCGAAUUGGGGAUAACAUUGCGAAAGCGAUGCUAAUACCGAAUGACAUUUUCAUUGUUUCGGCAUAGAAAAUCAAAGGUGGCCUCUUCAUGAAAGCUACCGUUUGGGGAUGAGCCCGCGUCCCAUUAGCUUGUUGGUGAGGUAACGGCUCACCAAGGCCGCGAUGGGUAGCUGGUCUGAGAGGAUGAUCAGCCACACUGGAACUGACACACGGUCCAGACUCCUACGGGAGGCAGCAGUGAGGAAUUUUGCGCAAUGGGGGAAACCCUGACGCAGCAACGCCGCGUGAGUGAUGAAGGCUUUCGGGUCGUAAAGCUCUGUCAAGUGGGAAGAACCUGUGAAGCGUUAAUACCGCUUCGCACUGACGGUACCACUGAAGGAAGCACCGGCUAACUCC
rnacentral:rRNA from 1 species